CGUUGAGGCGGUUUCGUAAGUUGGACGUUAAAGCCCCGGGCUCAACUCGGGGAGGCCGUUCAAUACUGCGAGACUUGAGGACAGCAGAAGGGGGUGGAAUUUCCGGUGUAGUGGUGAAAUGCGUAGAUAUCGGAAGGAACACCAGUGGCGAAGGCGGCCCCCUGGGCUGUUCCUGACGCUGAAGGCGAAAGCUAGGGGAGCGAACG
rnacentral:rRNA from 1 species